rnacentral:misc_RNA from 1 species
UUCAUUUGUCAUACUUCACCGGUGGCAGUGGAGGUCUGGAUAUGGCGAUUGCAAGCUUUCUACCCCUCUUCUUGGGUGUCUUUGCAUGUGCCUCUUUUUGUGUUUCAUGCUUCUUCGAACUUCGCUUAUCUACCCGGAGGAAUCCUAACAAGAUCCGUCUUUAGUAGAUCAAAAUCUCAACUUCGAACCGAUCAAAUCUGUCGUCAAACGUUGAUCGUUAUUGUCAUUAAACUCGUUGCUUCUCACCAUAGCUAAUGUUGUUGUGGUUUUCGCCGGAGGUCGCCUGGUCACUGUUGUCCUCGUCGGCUGUUGGAGUUGUUCUUGUUGUUAUCGUUGUCAGCUUGCUAUUGUCGCUGAUGGCUAAAGAUGCUGCCGUACUGGAGGCUUUCCAGUGGCUGCUGAUCUGGCGUAGAGAAAAGGAGACGGGCGCAAGAGGAAAACAGAGGAGAAGAGAAAGACGAGGAGAGGGAGACGACUGCCAUUGCAGGUGGCUCAAGAACACGCGAUGCGGGGGUUUGACCACAGCCUGCUG